rnacentral:tRNA from 1 species
GCAGUCGUGGCCGAGUGGUUGAGGCGAUGGACUAGAAAUCCAUAGACCCGUUGCUCUCGGGCAGGGGGCGCGAGCGCGUCCGCA